GAUGAACGCUAGCGGCAGGCCUAACACAUGCAAGUCGAGGGGUAGAGUUCUUCGGGACUUGAGACCGGCGCACGGGUGCGUAACGCGUAUGCAAUCUACCUUAUACAGGGGAAUAGCCCAGAGAAAUUUGGAUUAAUGCCCCAUAGUGUUAUCGAAUCGCAUGGUUUGAUAACUAAAGUUCCAACGGUAUAAGAUGAGCAUGCGUCCCAUUAGUUAGUUGGUAAGGUAACGGCUUACCAAGACAAUGAUGGGUAGGGGUCCUGAGAGGGAGAUCCCCCACACUGGUACUGAGACACGGACCAGACCUCCUACGGGAGGCAGCAGUGAGGAAUAUGGAC
rnacentral:rRNA from 1 species